rnacentral:rRNA from 1 species
AUACGGAGGGGGCUAGCGUUGUUCGGAAUCACUGGGCGUAAAGCGCGCGUAGGCGGAUUGGUCAGUUGGGGGUGAAAUCCCGAGGCUCAACCUCGGAACUGCCUCCAAAACUGCCAGUCUCGAGUCCGGGAGAGGUGAGUGGAAUUCCGAGUGUAGAGGUGAAAUUCGUAGAUAUUCGGAGGAACACCAGUGGCGAAGGCGACUCACUGGCCCGGUACUGACGCUGAGGUGCGAAAGCGUGGGGAGCAAACAGGAUUAGAAACCCCGUAGUCC